CCGGGCUCAGCUGACGGCGGGAGCGCGCAAGCUGUGGAGCUGCUGCACAACCCAGAUCGGUUUCGGUCUCCUGCGCGCCCGGGAUGGGGCUGCGGACGAUGCCUCGGUUGCUGCCGCCGCUGUUGCUGCUGGUGUUUCUGGCGCCGGGCGGGCGGGCGAAGGUGUGCGAGGCCGAGGGCCGCUGGCCGGUUCCCUACAGGCGCUUCGAUGGCCGUCCCCGGCCGGAUCCCUUUUGCCAGGCUCGGUACACCUUCUGCCCCAGCGGCUCUGCCCUGCCGGAGAUGCGGGAGACGGACGUCCUGGCCGUGUAUCGCUUGCAGGCUCCCGUUUGGGAGUUCAAGUACGGGGGGCUUCUGGGCCACCUGAAAAUUAUGCACGAUGCCGUGGGCUUCCGAAGCUCCUUGACUGGGAAGAACUACACAAUGGAGUGGUACGAGCUGUUCCAGCUUGGCAACUGUACCUUCCCACACCUGCGGCCUGAGAACCCCGCCCCUUUCUGGUGUAACCAGGGGGCGGCCUGUUUCUAUGAAGGGAUUGAUGAUGCCCACUGGAAGGAAAAUGGCACACUGGUCCAAGUGACUACAAUUUCAGGCGCUAUAUUCAAUCAAAUGGCAAAAUGGGUGGACUACGACAAUGAAACUGGCAUUUACUAUGAGACCUGGAUGGUCAAAAGCAGCCCAGAAAAAAAUUCCCGUGUCUGGUUUGAAGCUUAUGAAUGCUCCAAAUUCGUACUACGGACCUACCAGAAGCUGGCUGAGCUGGGGGCCGUUUUCAAGAAGAUGCAGACGAAUUACACGACCAUUACUCUCUUCAGCGGAGAGCCUGUUUGCCUGGGCAAUGAGACGACUCUCUUUGGACCGCUGGGAAACAAAUCCUUGGCGUUAGCUAUUAGGAAUUUCUACUUGCCCUUCAAACCGUAUCACUCGGUGAAGGAGUUCUUCCUUAACCUAUUGAAGAUACUUGAGGAGGUAGUCCUGGAUCAUCGGUUUUACUUGUUUUAUAAUCUGGAAUAUUGGUUUUUGCCCAUGAAAUACCCUUACAUGAAAAUAGCAUAUGAAGAAAUCCCGUUGCCUAACUCAAAUGCUACCAAAUUCGAGUGGAAUCAAGCUUUGGCGGAUAGCAGUGCGGUAGGAUCACAAGGAUCAGUGGCUGUGGAUGAUUGGAAUUGUAGUCUAAAGUAGAGGUAGGGGAACGUCAGAUUAAGUUGCUAGAAAUUGUGCGUAUCUCUUCCUUGAUGAAUGUCUUGAAUGGCACGUUUAUAGAAUGCUGGAUGGAUCAAAAACAAAGGUGCCUUGAACCUGUUAGCAGUGGGAAAUUUGUCUGACAAAAGUAAGCAGACAUUGAUGAUGUUACCUAGUUUGGUAAUAAAACGUCUUCAAGAAAACCCCCGAGGCCAGAGAGCACUGAGGACCCCACAGAAAGUAAGCUAGUAAACCUCUGCAGGAGAAGACUGAAUACAGAGAAUGGUACACAGGCUUUUAACGCAUACUUGAUAUUUAGUUGACUUGUUUCCCGAGAUGGGUACAUGGAGGAUUGUAAACUUUGGCACGUGCCUGUGUAGCCAUACAUCGAUAUUUGGUACAGAUUAACAACUGCAUUAAGUGUUCCGCCUCCCACAUCCUAUCUAAGAACAGAAACAAAUAACAGAGUUAGAAGGGACCCUGUAGGUCAUCUAGUCCAACCCCCCCACCCAAGCAGGAGACCCUACACCGGGGUCUGCAAACUUGGCUCUUUUAAGACUUGUGGACUUCAACUCCCAGAAGUUCCUCAGCCAGCAGGGAGUUGAAGUCCACAAGUCUUAAAAGAGCCAAGUUUGCAAACCCCUGCCCUACACCAUUUGUGACAGAUGGCAGUUCAAUCUCUUCUUGAACCUGACAUCCAAAUUUAGGAAGCUCAGCACAGCACAGCAAUCCUGACCCUUGGAAAAUGUGCAGUUUCUGCAGUACUUCUUGGGCGAUGGUCUGUGAAGAAAAACCCGACAGCUAGAAAUCUCCAUCACCGUUCAGAAUUUUACUCGCCAGUUCCGACAACCGCAAAUGCAUCCUUAUCUGUGGUGAAUCUUGAGAGCCAUGAAGAAACCUGUGUGCCUUAACCCGCUUGACAGAUGCCACCGGGCACGAGGGCUGCAUUUCUAAGCUUUGCCAAGUCUUGACUUUUUUUUUUCCUGGCAAGAGCCCAACGGAUCUGUUGGGCUUCUUUUUCAAGCUGGACAGAUGCGAAGUCUAUUUUUGUGGGGAAAUGAUUGAAAAAAAAACCCCAAUCAUUCUUUGGAAGAACAUCAUUCCAAUGUUCUUUGGAAAUAUUUUUCACAAUGCCUUUGUUUGUAUUAAGCAUCAUUCCAGAUUUCAUGCAAUUUUUAUUGCAUGAAUGUAAUUUUUUUUUUUUUUGAUAGCUGUUCCAGAAGGAUGGCAAGCGCAGCCUCUCCUUCACAUCAGACUGAAAUUGAGAGCACUCUCCCUCUACUGCUCAGAGCCAGGAACUGUAUUUGUUACUGGAAACAUGGGAAGUCCUCAUUCAGCAACUGGGCUUCACAACUUAGUCGUUAAGUGAAGCAGUCGCUGAGUGAAAUAACUCUGCUGAUGAUCUUCAGCUUUCCUUUGCUUUACAGACGGCCUUCGCAGAAGCAAAAAACAGAUUCCUCGCAAAGAAAAAAAAACCUCUUUUAUUUACACUUUGGGAAUUAAUUGCAUUCACCCACCAAGACUCCUGCAAGGAGUUAACUGGAACAAUAGUCCUUAUGAGCUCGAUAUGAUAAAUGCAAGGCUCUGAGCUGAAAAUUUAGUCAGAGAGCUAGACAAACCUCAGUUCUGGCAAGGCAGCCUUUGUCCCACGAAACAUACAAGGAGCAAACUUUCUAGAAAUGUGAACGGUUGUCUGCUACAACCAAACCACUACCCUUUCCUCCCAUUUAUUCCCCAGCCAGGGAGACGCCAUUCAGAGUCAUUUGUUUUGCUUUCCUAGCCGUUGUUCACCUCUCCUAUCUGCUCUGUGCAUAUGUGCAUUUGGCACAGGCCUCCUGUGUUCCUCCUUUUCAUCCUCACAGCUGCCUCUCUGGCUGGGAAAUGCCGGACAGCCCUGGCUCUAUCUGUGUCCGUCGCAGAGUAUUCAUCAGAGCCUUCCCCAGGCUCCAGAACUGUCCAAGUUCUUCCCCAACUCAUUGUCCGAAUCUGCUGACGGCUCUGCUGUCAGAUGGUGGGCCACACAGAGGUU